rnacentral:rRNA from 1 species
UCAAGCUACUAAGGGCAUACGGCGGAUGCCUAGGCGCCAUCAGCCGAUGAAGGACGCGGUAAGCUGCGAAAAGCUACGGGGAACUGCAAGCAAGUAUUGAUCCGUAGAUGUCCGAAUGGGGAAACCCACCUGCCGUCAUGGGCAGGUAUCCGAAAGGAAGGGAACCCGGGGAACUGAAACAUCUAAGUACCCGGAGGAAGAGAAAUCAAACGAGAUGCCCACAGUAGCGGCGAGCGAAGAGGGCAGAGGGCAAACCGGGGAGCUACGGCUCUCCGGGGUUGAGGACUGCAUUUAGUUUCAAUGGUUUAUCCGAACUACCUGGAAAGGUAGGCAACACAGUGUAAAAGCCACGUAGGUUAAAGGCCAGAGAGAUGAGCAGUAUCCAGAGUACCACGAGGCACGAGGAAUCUUGUGGGAAGCCGGGGGGACCACCCUCCAACCCUAAACACUGAAUGGCGACCGAUAGCGCAUAGUACCGUGAGGGAAAGGUGAAAAGAACCCCGGGAGGGGAGUGAAAGAGAACCUGAAACCGUAUGUCUACAAGCAGUCGGAGCGAAAGCGACGGCGUGCCUAUUGAAGAAUGAACCAACGAGUUACGUGCACUAGCGAGGUUAAGUGGAAGACACGGAGCCGAAGCGAAAGCGAGUCUUAAGAGGGCGGAUAGUUAGUGUACGUAGACCCGAAACCGCAGUGAUCUACCCAUGUCCAGGUUGAAGCGCAGGUAAAAUUGCGUGGAGGACCGAACCUGUGAGCGUUGAAAAGCUUUAGGAUGAGAUGUGGGUAGAGGUGAAAUUCCAAUCGAACGCGGAGAUAGCUGGUUCUCCCCGAAAUAGCUUUAGGGCUAGCCUCAAGUAGUAAGUAUAGGCGGUAGAGCACUGAUCGGGCUAGGGGCCAUAAAGGUUACCGAACCCUGUCAAACUCCGAAUGGUUAUACUGUAGAGCUUGGGAGUCAGACUACGAGUGAUAAGAUCCGUGGUCAAAAGGGAAACAGCCCAGACCACCAGCUAAGGUCCCCAAUGUCGUACUAAGUGGAAAAGGAUGUGGGGUCUCUAAAACAACCAGGAUGUUGGCUUAGAAGCAGCCACCAUUUAAAGAGUGCGUAAUAGCUCACUGGUCGAGAGACCCUGCGCCGAAGAUUACCGGGGCUAAAGUACGAAACCGAAGCUGUGGCUACGACUUAGGUCGUGGGGUAGGGGAGCGUUCUGUGAGGGCUGAAGUCGUUCUGUAAGGAACGGUGGACUUCACAGAAGUGAGAAUGUUGGUAUGAGUAGCGAAAAGAAUGGUGAGAAUCCAUUCCACCGAAAGCAUAAGGAUUCCUGGGCAACGAUCGUCGUCCCAGGGUAAGUCGGGACCUAAUCCGAGGCAUGGAGCGUAGGAGAUGGACAACUGGCAGAUAUUCCAGUACCGGUAAUGAUUGUUUGAGCGAUGGAGUGACACAGGAGGGCAGGCAGGCAGGAGAUUGGUUGUUCCUGUACAAGCGUGUAGGAUGGGACGCAGGCAAAUCCGCGUCCUGUGAGUCUGAGGCGUGAUGUGGAGGUUCCGGAAACGGAACUGAAGCUGCUGACCCCACACUGUCGAGAAAAGCUUCUAGUUAGAGAAUUACCGCCCGUACCGUAAACCGACACAGGUAUGCGGGGAGAGAAUCCUAAGGUGCGCGGGAGAACCCUCGUUAAGGAACUCGGCAAAAUGUACCCGUAACUUCGGGAUAAGGGUAGCCGCUGUUGUGAAGUCUGAACAGAUGGAGCAUGAGGCGGUCGCAGAGAAGAGGCCCAAGCGACUGUUUACCACAAACACAGGUGCCUGCUAAAGAGAAAUCUGACGUAUAGGUGCUGACACCUGCCCAGUGCCGGAAGGUUAAGGAAGGAUGUCCGGAGCAAUCCAAAGCAUUCGACCGAAGCCCCGGUGAACGGCGGCCGUAACUAUAACGGUCCUAAGGUAGCGAAAUUCCUUGUCGGGUAAG